rnacentral:rRNA from 1 species
CCUGGUUGAUUCUGCCAGUAUAUGUAUGCUUGUCUCAAAGAUUAAGCCAUGCAUGUCUAACUAUAAGCAACUUUGUACUGUGAAACUGCGAAUGGCUCAUUAAAUCAGUUAUAGUUUAUUUGAUGGUUUUUGCUACAUGGAUAACUGUGGUAAUUCUAGAGCUAAUACAUGCAUUCAAGCCCCGACUUCCGGAAGGGGUGUAUUUAUUAGAUAAAAAUCAACUUUGUUGGUGAAUCAUAAUAACUUCUCGGACCGCAUGGCCUCGUGCUGGCGGUGCUUCAUUCAAAUAUCUGCCCUAUCAACUGUCGAUGGUAGGAUAGAGGCCUACCAUGGUUGCAACGGGUAACGGGGAAUAAGGGUUCGAUUCCGGAGAGGGAGCCUGAGAAACGGCUACCACAUCCAAGGAAGGCAGCAGGCGCGCAAAUUACCCAAUCCCAACACGGGGAGGUAGUGACAAUAUGUAACAAUAUACGGCCUUAUACGUCGUAUAAUUGGAAUGAGUACAAUUUAAAUCCCUUAACGAAGAACAAUUGGAGGGCAAGUCUGGUGCCAGCAGCCGCGGUAAUUCCAGCUCCAAUAGCGUAUAUUAAAGUUGUUGCAGUUAAAAAGCUCGUAGUUGGACCUUGGACCUGGACAGGCGGUCCGCCUCACGGCGAGUACUGUCUUGCUGGGUCUUUCCUCUUGGUGAUCUGUUGUUUCGGCAGCAGGGAACCAGGACUUUUACUUUGAAAAAAUUAAAGUGUUCCAAGCAGGCUCGACCCCGGAAUAUAUUAGCAUGAAAUAAUAAA